rnacentral:rRNA from 1 species
CCAGACUCCUACGGGAGGCAGCAGUAGGGAAUUUUGCGCAAUGGGCGAAAGCCUGACGCAGCAACGCCGCGUGAUCGAGACGCCCUUCUGUGUGUAAAGAUCUUUCAUUGGGGACGAAACUUGACGGUACCCACAGAGGAAGCACCGGCUAACUCCGUGCCAGCAGCCGCGGUAAUACGGGGGGUGCAAGCGUUGUCCGGAAUCAUUGGGCGUAAAGAGUUCGUAGGCGGCACGUAAAGUCUGGUGUUAAAGGCAGAGGCUCAACUUCGGUACGGCACUGGAUACUUGCGAGCUAGAAUGCGGUAGAGGUAAAGGGAAUUCCUGGGGUAGCGGUGAAAUGCUUAGAUAUCGCGCAGAACUCCGAUUGCGAAGGCAGCAUGCCGGCUCCACACUGACGCUGAGGCACGAAAGCGUGGGUAUCGAACAGGAUUAGAUACCCGGGUAC